CUCUGGGCCACGGUCAUUAGUGGACUGAGUUCAGGCUCUACCGUGCCCGUUUUGUGUAUGAAAAGACCCAGGCACUGUGUGGUUACAUCAAGUAGCAAGGCCUGCAGUUCCUGAGCAAGGCCUGCAGUUCCUGUCCUUAACCAGGGCUGCCGUUCAGCAUUAGCUAAAAGCAGCUCUGGUGGGUGAGGCCCCGAGCUGAGCAGAGGAAGGAGAGACACCGCUCUCAGGGAAGACGCUACUUGUGCACCGUGAUUUCUCUAGCAGCUGAGAUGAAGUCGGAGUAAAAGCAGUUUGCUGUGUCAGCCACUGUGGGCUUUUCAAAGUUUUGCUCUGCUGCAGAAAUGAAAGGAAUCACAAACUGGAUAAAAUAAUGGACUCUGAUCUCCUUCAUCUCUUUAUUACUGUGUCACCCCUUUGAGAAAGCACGCCUCAGACAAGUCCCCUAUGUUAUCUCCAUUCCAGUGUCACUAUCUCUGUGUAGAAAUGUGACAGGAUGAACUGAGAAGAGAGGACAGGGUGCGGACACAGGGACAGAGCUCUCAGUACCUUGGAAGGACUGGUGCUAACAUGAUGGAAGAUGAGAAAUCACAGGGAAGAGACAGAAAGAUCCCUACCUCGCACCAGUCAGACUCAAAGUCAUUCUUCCCUCUCACAGCAGGCCCAAAGGACAGAACGAUGAAAGACUCUAGGAAAGACUGAGAAGCCUGCAGACAUACCCGUCUUUCCUGGUCCUUCAAGAGUGUGCUCUUCUCACAUGUGGUAAUCAAUUUUUAAAUAAAUUUAUAUCUUUUAAAAAAGAA